rnacentral:rRNA from 1 species
GACGAACGCUGGCGGCGUGCUUAACACAUGCAAGUCGAACGGAAAGGCCCUGCUUGCAGGGUACUCGAGUGGCGAACGGGUGAGUAACACGUGGGUGAUCUGCCCUGCACUUCGGGAUAAGCCUGGGAAACUGGGUCUAAUACCGGAUAGGAGCCAUUUUUAGUGUGAUGGUUGGAAAGUUUUUUCGGUGUAGGAUGAGCUCGCGGCCUAUCAGCUUGUUGGUGGGGUAAUGGCCUACCAAGGCGGCUACGGGUAGCCGGCCUGAGAGGGUGGACGGCCACAGUGGGACUGAGAGACGGCCCAGACUCCUACGGGAGGCAGCAGUGGGGAAUAUUGCACAAUGGGCGCAAGCCUGAUGCAGCGACGCCGCGGGGGGGAUGACGGCCUUCGGGUUGUAAACUCCUUUCGCUAGGGACGAAGCUUUUUGUGACGGUACCUAGAGAAGAAGCACCGGCUAACUACGUG